GGGGACCGGAAGUAAACGAUAUCAAGACCAUGUAUGGAGUGAUCUGAUGCGAGGAUGUGUGAGAGCGGUUCGUUAGCUCCAUGGUUAGCUCUCUCUCGUGUGAAAAACGGAGAUAAUCUCUACAUAUUCAAUACGUAUUUUUGCUGUUAACGCGUCAGGAUACGAUUAUUUAAGCGGCGAAACGCAGUGAGUUGCAUUUGCUGAGUUUUCAGCUAAGCUAACUGUCACGCUACCGCCAAGCUAGCGUCAUUAGCUUGGAUGCUAACAGCCAAGCUAGCGUCUCGACAUUGGCCUUCAUUAGCUUUGUUGCUAACGGCAACGCUACAGCCGCGCGACCGCACGUGGGCGUUGAACUUCAGUGCUAACCUUCAGCUAGGAGCCUGGAGAGCAAACCAGUCCUGACACUAAAGGAUGACAGGAAACCAGACCAGAGAGCUCAUUGUGGGUGACCAGAUGAAUGCAGAGUUAUGGACCAAAAUUGAAGACGAUGGAAUUGAAUCAAAUUUGUGAAUUCAUUCAGCAGUCAAGAAAAAGCUCAACUUCUAAUUUAACUUUUAAUUUUUACUUUGAAGCUCUCUGAUUGGUUGAUUAUUACAGAAUUUUCUCUGUGGGACUUGUAGUUUUUAAACACAAAUGUCUGACAUAUUGUACUGAGGAUUUAACUCAAGAGUUUUGUGUUUAUUCAAGUGUUGAAAAUAUACUGUCACCUGAUGUUAAUAUCUAUAAACAUAUAUUUUUCAACUGAACUGAUAAGU